GACGAACGCUGGCGGCGUGCUUAACACAUGCAAGUCGAACGGAAAGGCCUUUUCGGAGGUACUCGAGUGGCGAACGGGUGAGUAACACGUGGGUGAUCUGCCCUGCACUCUGGGAUAAGCCUGGGAAACUGGGUCUAAUACCGGAUAGGACCGCACUUUAGUGUGUGUGGUGGAAAGUUUUUUCGGUGUAGGAUGAGCCCGCGGCCUAUCAGCUUGUUGGUGGGGUAAUGGCCUACCAAGGCGGCGACGGGUAGCCGGACUGAGAGGUUGGUCGGCCACAUUGGGACUGAGGGACGGCCCAGACUCCUACGGGAGGCAGAAGGGGGGAAUAUUGCACAAUGGGCGCAAGCCUGAUGCAGCGACGCCGCGGGGGGGAUGACGGCCUUCGGGUUGUAAACUCCUUUCGCCAGGGACGAAGCGUUUUGUGACGGUACCUGGAGAAGAAGCACCGGCUAACUACGUG
rnacentral:rRNA from 1 species